rnacentral:rRNA from 1 species
GAUGAACGCUAGCUACAGGCUUAACACAUGCAAGUCGAGGGGCAGCAUGAACUUAGCUUGCUAAGUUUGAUGGCGACCGGCGCACGGGUGAGUAACACGUAUCCAACCUGCCGAUGACUCGGGGAUAGCCUUUCGAAAGAAAGAUUAAUACCCGAUGGCAUAGUUCUUCCGCAUGGUGGAACUAUUAAAGAAUUUCGGUCAUCGAUGGGGAUGCGUUCCAUUAGGUUGUUGGCGGGGUAACGGCCCACCAAGCCUUCGAUGGAUAGGGGUUCUGAGAGGAAGGUCCCCCACAUUGGAACUGAGACACGGUCCAAACUCCUACGGGAGGCAGCAGUGAGGAAUAUUGGUCAAUGGACGAGAGUCUGAACCAGCCAAGUAGCGUGAAGGAUGACUGCCCUAUGGGUUGUAAACUUCUUUUAUACGGGAAUAAAGUGAGGCACGUGUGCCUUUUUGUAUGUACCGUAUGAAUAAGGAUCGGCUAACUCCGUG